AUGACGGAUGCUAUAUCGAAAUACUGGUGGGGAGAUGGCGACAAUCAUAAGCGGAUCCAUUGGGCAGCUUGGUGGAAGUUGUGUAUACCUAAAGAAAGGGGAGGUUUAGGAUUCAGGGACCUACACAGUUUUAACUUAGCUCUACUUGCUAAACAAGUUUGGAGGCUGCUUGAGAAUCCUGAUUCUUUGUAUGCUCAGAUAUUGAGAGCCAAGUAUUAUCCGGACAGAAAGCUUCUUGAUGCCAAGGUGAAAAGUGGAAGCUCGUAUACAUGGCAGAGUAUUUGUGCUGGCAUUAAUACAUUCAGGAGAGGGGCAAUAUGGCGCAUAGGUGAUGGAUCACAAGUGAACAUCUGGGCUGACUCUGGAUACAAUCGAGUGCUGAUGGCCGUGUCAUUACACCACGAGGAGGGACCCUUCUGUCUAAGGUUUCGGAGUUGA
rnacentral:rRNA from 1 species